rnacentral:lncRNA from 1 species
AUGCCUAUUAUACCCUCACCUAUUCAUCUUCAGUCCAUUAAUUCUCAAGCAGUCCCUCUUCAAUGCUUUUCUGAGGUCUUCACCCUGGGUCUGGGGUUGGAGAAGGGGAAGGGGAAGGGAAGGGAAAGGAACUUAAAUAUAACAUGGAAAGUGAGCAGAGCAUUGAUAUCUACCCAGUGGUUACCAGGGGGACUCUUGGCAGCAAAGAGAACACAGAUUCCCUUAGGAUGCAUGCCUGCAACCACCAGGGUCCAACCAGGGAUCCCUCUCAUGCUGGCAAGUUUCAUUUUGAGUGUAGUUAAUGUGCCAAUUUUUACAAAGAGUUGGGCUUGUAAGCAUCUCGAAGCUACAUGGCAACAUGAAGCCAGAAUGCAAAGGACCCUCAAGGACUCCAGAGACCAGCACCAGCAUCUGACUACUGAGGUUGGAGUAACAUUUCAGAUGGGAAGGGAGUUGGAGAGGCUCAGUCUGCACUAGAGAGAGGAGCUAACUCAUGUGCACAACCUUUCACAGCACACUCAUGAGAAAACACUUCCUGGAACCUGGCUGAAUCAAAACUGUGCUCACCACCUUAAAAACAAUGAUCAAAAAGGGUGGAAACUCUGUUCUGUGCCACUGUGCAUCCCAAAGAUGUGCACGCAGAGAUGAGAGGCCUGGCAUGAUUUUGUAUUUAGUUUUAUGCAACGAAAAUUGUAUUAAGGACCUACUAAGUGCAUGCCCUAAUCUAGCACUGAGAAUACUCUUGUAAGCAACACAGCCCAGUGCUCUCCAUCAGGGAGCUUACAUUCCAGUGGGAGGAGGCAUACAGUACAAAAACAAAUAAGACCAAAUGCUAACAAGUGCUGUGGAGGAAAUAAACAGGUGACAUAUUGGAAGGUGACUGGAAGAUCAUUUUCAGGAAUGUAAUCAAGGAAGCUCUCUCAGAACAGAUGUCCUUUGAGCUGAUAUGAAAACCGAGGUAAAGAGAAUUCAGACAGAUGAAGCAAUAAGUACAAAGGCGCUGAGGUAAGAGGAGGAAAGAAGCCGUUGGUAGACAGAGAGUGUGAGACAAAGGGAGAGGGAACGCACAAGGCCAGAGAAAAGGCAGAGUUCACACCGUAUAGGGCCUUGAAGACCAGGCCCAGGAUUUGAGAUUUUUAUUCCAAGUUGAAUGAGAAGUCAUGAAAGACUUUUAAAGAUGGAAAUAACACGUUCCAAUUUAUGUAGGUAGAUGUUACUCUCACUACUAUGUAGAGAAUGGAUUUGGGGUGAUGACAAGCCUGGGAGCUCCAGAAAAUUAGUUGUUUAGGCAAGAGACAAUGGUAGCUUGGACUAGAGUAUUGAAAUUAGAGAUGGAGAGAAAUGGGAGAGUUUGAGAUAUAUAUUUUAAAAGGCUGAUAGAAUAUGCAGAAUGAGAGAAGGGAGAGAACCAAGGAUUAUACCAACACCUGGGUUUUUGGAUUGAGUAAUAAGGUGGAUAAUAUUGUCUUUUCCUGAGAUACAGAAUACUAGAAGAGGUAGAAGUAUGAAUGAAGGGGAGGCAGCAUCAACAACUUCAUUUUGAUGCCUAGAGAUGUCCACAGUAGUAUGUCUACAGAUGUCUAAAUAGCAGUCGGAUUGAUGAGUCUGGAGUUGAGUAUAUAUGUGAAGGGUAGAGACACACAUUUGAGAUUCAUCUACAUGCAGAUGGAAUUUAAAGUCCAUGGAGGGAUGAAGUCCCCUAGAGAGAGAUUUUCAGUAGGGAAGAAACAAUGCCUAAGACUUAGUGCUGGAGUGUUCUUCCAUUCGAAGUCAGGGAGAAGAGAAGCGUGCAAAGAAUCAGAGAAGCAGAGGCCUGUGAGGUAGUAGGGCAAGGAUACAUAGAGGAGCCAGCAAGAAUGUAUAUCAGGUAAGGAGAUAACAAUGUUUUGGAAUAUCACUACAAAGUUAAAGAGAAUGAGAGCAAAGGUGUGCCUGUUAGAUUUGACAUGUGGUAAUCCUAACAAAAACAGUUUCACUGAAGUGGUGGGAACAAAAGCCAGACUGGCACAGAAUAAAGGGUAAAUGGGAGGCAAAGAAAUAAAGAGAAUGAGCAACUUCCUUUGAGAAGUUUGCUAUGCAGAAAAGCAAGGAAUGGGGCCGUAGCUGGAGGGGCUGGCAGAUCAAGUAACCCAGCCCAGAUCAGAUUCCUACAAUACAAAGCAAGUCCUCCCAGUUUUGUUAAUAACACAGGCUUGGCUCUCAUUGCCCUCGAGAUAAGCUCAGACUCCAUAGGCAGGCAGGUAAGGACUGCACAGCCCUGACCUCCACAAUUCCACAUAAUUCCUGUCUCUCUUUCUGUCCUUGCCAUUCCCAAGGCCACCAUUUACUCCACACCCAUACCAUAAUAGUCCUCAUUCUCCUAUCGUUUCAUUUUCUUUCAAAUCUCUAUGCUGUCCUACAUGCUCUUCCUUUUGCCAGAAAUGUCUUUCGCUUCCUAAUUCUUCAUUGAGGUUCAGUUCAAAUCACCUCCUGCAUGAAGUCUUCCAACAAACCUGCAGUUCCUUCCCUCAUCUGCCUUGUAUAUCUCUCUAUCAGAGCCUUGAUAAUGAUCUGUGUGUGUUUCUGUUCAUUGGCUAUGCAUUCCCUGAAGGCAGGGAUGGCCACUUCCCUUUCUCUAUAACUUGUACCUAACAUAGGCCUUAUAGCCCAUAGGUAUAUGGGAGAUGAAGAAAAGUACCUGCAGAUGCUAUCAAAAUAGCUUGAGGCGAUAGUUUCAGGUCACCGCUAUCAUACCUUGAGCCAGUGUCUACAUUGAUGUAUCCAAACUCUAUUACCAUUCUUUUUCCUUCCCACCUUCCUCAGAG